AAUCAUAAGAUCAUGCUAUUUCAUGGUAGAAUUUCAUAAGCAAAAUUCUAAUAAAAUUUAAACAUGAAUCCAAACAUAACAUGAACCAUAUGAUCUUCCAAAUUAUCCAAAAAAUGAAGGGUGGCUCUGAUACCAAUUGUUAGGACUAUGAUUCCAACUAAAUAUAACAACCUUCAUAUUGAAUAAUCCGGAAUUAAACUACAUGAGCGGAAGCUAACCUGAAUCCAUAUCCGGAAAGUGUU
rnacentral:lncRNA from 1 species